AAAAAAUCCAAAAAAAAUCACCAAAAAAAUCCCAAAAAAACCUCAAAAAAAUCCCCAAAAAAUCCCAAAAAAAUUCCCAAAAAUUCCCAAAAAAUCCCCCCAAAAAUUCCCAAAAAUCUCCCAAAAAAUCCCCAAAAAACCCAAAAAAAAAAAAAAAAUCCCCAAAAAAUCCCCAAAAAAAUCUCAAAAAAAUCUCAAAAAAAUCUCAAAAAUUCCCAAAAAAUUCCCAAAAAAUUCCCGAAUUUUUCCCUUCCCGUUUUUUAUUCCCAGGGUCCUCGUGGGGAUCGUGGGGAAAAAGGAGAAUCAAAAUUCCAAAAAUCCCCAAAAAAAUCCCAAAAAAUCCCCCAAAAAUCUCCAAAAAAUCUCCCAAAAAUCUCCAAAAUAUCUCCCAAAAAUUCACCAAAAAUCUCCAAAAAAAUCUCCAAAAAAUCCCCCCCAAAAUUCCAAAAAACCUCAAAAAAAUCUGAAAAAAAUCCCAAAAAAUUCCCAAAAAAUUCCCAAAAAUUCCCCAAAAAAUCUCCCCAAAAAUCCCCCAAAAAUCUCCCAAAAAUUCACAAAAAAUCUCCCCAAAAAAUCCCCAAAAAAACCCCAAAAAAUCCCCAAAAAUCCCCCAAAAAUCCCAAAAAAUUCCCAAAAAUUCCCCAAAAAAUCCCCCCAAAAAUCUCCCAAAAAUUCAAAAAAAAAACUCCCAAAAAAGUCCCAAAAAUCCCCAAAAAAAUCCCCCAAAAAUCUCCAAAAAAUCUCCCAAAAAUUCCCCAAAAAUCUCCCAAAAAUUCCCCAAAAAUCUCCCAAAAAUUCCCCAAAAAACCCAAAAAAAUCCACAAAAAAUCCCAAAAAAAUCCCCAAAAAUCCCCAAAAAAAUCCCCAAAAAAUCCCCAAAAAUCCCCCCAAAAAAUCCCCAAAAAAUCCCCCAAAAAACCCAAAAAAAUCCAAAAAAAAUCCCCAAAAAAUCCCCAAAAAUCCCCAAAAAAAUCCCCAAAAAAUCUCAAAAAUUCCCAAAAAAUUCCCAAAAAAUUCCCGAAUUUUUCCCUUCCCGUUUUUUAUUCCCAGGGUCCUCGUGGGGAUCGUGGGGAGAAAGGAGAAUCCGGAGCCUCCGGAGCCUCCGGAGCCGCGGGCGGGAAAGGCCCCCCCGGAGACGACGGCCCCAAAGGAAACCCCGUGAGACCCCAAAAAAUUCCCAAAAAAUUCCCAAAAAAUUCCCAAAAAAUUCCCAAAAAAUUCCCAAAAAAUUCCCCAAAAAUUCCCGGAAUUCCCAAACCUUUCCCAGAAAAUCCCGGGAUUUUUCCUGAAUUUUUGGGAAUUUUUGGGGAAUUUUUUUUUUAGGGUCCCGUUGGAUUCCCCGGAGAUCCCGGAGCCCCCGGAGAGAUCGGAGCCAGGGUGAGCCGGGAUUGGGGGAAUUUGGGGAAUUUGGGGAAUUUUGGGAGGGAAUUUGGGAAUUUUGGGGGGAAUUUGGGAAUUUGAGGGGAAUUUCGGGAAUUUUGGGGGAGAAUUUGGGGGAUUUGGGGGGGAAUUUUUGGAAUUUUGGGGGGGAAUUGGGGAAUUUGGGGAAUUUUGGGAAUUUGGGAGGGGAAUUUGGGGAAUUUGGGGGGGAAAUUUGGGAAUUUUGGGGAAUUUUGGGAGAAAUUUGGGGAAUUUGGGGGGGAAAUUUGGGAAUUUUUGGGGAAUUUUGGGAGAAAUUUGGGG
rnacentral:lncRNA from 1 species